UCAAUGAAGAGUUUGAUCCUGGCUCAGAACGAACGCUGGUGGCGUGUCUUAUACAUGCAAGUCGAGCGAGGCAGCAAUGCCGAGCGGCGAACGGGUGAGUAACGCGUAAGCAAU
rnacentral:rRNA from 1 species